UGCUGGCGGCGACUCACCGGCACAGUGGUUCCGAUCGUGAGCCGCUGGAAGCGGCUUGCCGGAGAUAAAGAGUUAAUAGGACAAAUAAUUCAGCAUGAGGUGAAAUUGCUGGUUUUGAUAAUUUAACUGGCAUUUAAAGUGAAUGGAGUUUCCUCACCCAAAUAGAGCCUGCAACGAUCAGACACCAAACUGAUGAUUGAGAAAUGUCACUAUUAGGCCCUGUUUUCUAUAAUAAGAUAGACAAUGAACUUUGAGUAAAUUCUCUGAUGGGACAAUUUUUUCUUAAAUGAUAUAAUGCUUGUAUUGUGAUGUACUUUUACUCCUCAAGUUUAUGAUUGCCAUGAGAGUUUGCUCCAUUUGUUGUUGCUUUUACUUUAAUGUCGGAUAAUUAUUUUUGCAAACGUUUUAUGUAAAUGAAUAUAAUGAGGUUGAAUUUAUGCCUUUGUCAUCUAAUGAACAAUGUAAGUUAAGUAAGAGUAAAUGAAUAUAUAUUGAGGUUGGAUUUAUGCCGUUGUCAUCUAAUGAACAAUGUAAGUAAGAGUAAGAGGUCUUACUGUUGUAAAUAAUAAUGUAGUGUUAUAUAUUACUUUGCUGGAGUAGAUGUUUGUUCUGUAUUAGCACCUCAGUGAGUGGCUGGGAGAGGUGAGUUUGCUUGGUGGCAUGAGCCAUUCACUCAUUGUGGUGGCAGUCAUUGAGGUGUCAAUAGAACAGAUGUUAUGGCACUGGCUUACUUUCUGGAAACAAUUUUUUUAGUUGAUUAUGAUAGUGAUAGCAGAUUUACUCUACCUGAUACUGAUAUAUUUCUGUAGUACAAGAAUUUGUAUUGAGGUGGUUUUGGUUUGUGAUUUGGAUUGUCCCUAAGGUUAUGUGACAGUGUUAUUGCUCAUGGGAAAUAUUUUGGAGUUGUUCAGUUCAACUUUUUUUUCUUUUUUGGGAGGGGGGGGGGGGGGGGCUGGAUGAUUAUGAUGAUAAUAGUGAUGUUAUAUAUACAGUGUGCUUAAAUCGUUGUGAUGGAUAAGCAAUAAUGACCUGUGCCUCUCUUAUUUCAUAUCAUGUGACAUGACUAUUGCCCUGUCCCCACGGUUUAUGCAAAAAAGAAAUCUGAAAUUAUGCAAACUGAGCCCAAAAAUGUGAAAUUAUGCGAUUCUGUUAAUUUUAACAAAGAAUAAGAAAGGAAAAUAAUCAGAAAUUAUGCAAAAAAUGAUCUAAUUUUGCUAAAUUAUGCAGGGUGCAUAAAACCCUGGGGACAGAUAGCACCAUGUUACAGUGGACGGUGACUAAGAGUUGAUGUGCAUCUUAGAUGGAAUCUAAUAUGUUUUACUGCAAAAAAGGUCCAAAGUUUGUUAUCCUACCAUGGAGCUGCUUAAACUGAAAACAGUCUGAAAAAAGUGGUGUUCUGAAAGAAUCAGAAUCUCCAAUCUUUCUUUCUUCUUUUGGACUUUGUAAGAAAACUUCCAAUUAGCUGAAAUGCUGCGGAGUAGUUUUUCUAAAUUGAAAAGAAUUUCAAGGGUUAUGUGGACUAAUUAUUCACAAACAGCUCUUAAAAACAUGAGAACGCACUUGCAUCAAUUGCAGGCCAGAAAGAGGCAUUGGCAAUGUACUAUUUACCUACGUUUAUUACAAACAUUGACAGGUGUACACACUACAUACAUGUUGUGUAUAGUGACGCUAGGACUAGGACUAAGGUAACAAUAAAUAAAUCUGUUGUGGGACCUUUGAUGGGUUAUGGCCUAGGACUUUUUUUUUGUCCACAUGGCACACAAUGUGUCUCGUGAUGUCACUUGCACUCGGCUUUCUCACUCCUCUUGUGCAGAGCAAAGUUUAAUACAGUAGGGCCUACAGUGUGUAUGUUGGGCAGAUCAAACAAGCUGACAAUGUGAAGGGAAAAAGCACAAUCACAAAGAGAAAAAGCAAUCUCUACUGUCUGCACUUUUUGGCCAGUUUUUUUCCUGUCUUGACAUCAUCGUACUGACACUACUAGAUUAACACAUUUCAUCAGCAAGCUGUUCAAAUGUGUCAAGCCCAGAAAGCAAAAUUUUUUUUUCUCAAGAGAAAAAAUCCCUGUUUCGUUCUUUAAAAAAAUUGUAACAAAAUUAUGUAGGUAUUUUUUUUUUCAACAUUUAGAAUUUGAUGUUCGACAAAAUAUUUCUUGAAGACAUGUAGUUGAUGUGAGAUAAAGAAGCUGCAAUAAACAAUUUUUUUCAAAACUUGAGGAUUAGUAGGCCUACAUCUGAACAGAUGAUUGACAGUUUUGUACCUUUUACUGUUUACAUCUAAUUUCUUGAUGCAACUUUAGCUCGCCAGCACCAUUAAGUCUCCUUGUUUAUUUUGAUUGCCUAUGCUAAUACUAAUAACAUAUAUAUAUAUCGUAUAUUAUUGUUCUUAUAAUACUGCUUAUGUUUUUAAAAAAUCUAAUUUGUACCGUCAUUUUUCUUUUGUAUACUUUGUUUACCCAACUUCAUCCAUGUCUUUUCUGCUUUGAUUUUACUCAUGAGGAAAGAUUCCUUCCUGCUUUAUUUUACCCAUGAGGAAGGUUAGGGAAUUUCACACCAUACUUUUGUGCUUUGGAGUUGGAGUCGGAGCAUGAUGAGAAGUGUCUUUAGGGUUUAAACUACAUGUACUAGAAGGAAAAUAUCAUCUACUUCAGUUUUAACUUGCAUUAUAAAUAUAUACAUAUUACAGCUUUACGAAUCUAAAAUUCCAGACGACUACAAAUGAGUUGAUGUUAUGUUAUAGGGGGUGUGAAAAAAGAUCAACUCAUUCGAAGUUCAACUUAACAGUUGGGGUCUGUAAAGAAAAAGAGGUUCUGGGACUGGAGUAAAAUAUCGACGUAACCAAAGAUCAACUCAAGCAGUUCGUUACAAACGGAGUCGACUGUAUACAUUUUCUUUUUCUUUCCAAAACUCACUCUGUGGGGAGAUAUGCACGGUCGGAAUAGAUUAUAAUUCACGAAAAGGGACAAAUUGAAUCAAAUUGAGUUAAACGUAGCAAUAGAAAACUUAACGGGACCCAUUGAAAGCACAAACAUAGAUCUAAUAUGAUUCUCUUAUGAAGCUCUUCCUUUUUAAAGGUUUCAGGGUGUGGAAUUGCCCCAUUAACACUCUAUGACUAUGUGUAUUUUCUUUUGAUGACAUAAUGUAAUAUGUAACUAUAAUUUGAUUAGAAUGUGGGACCACUAUCCUGUUUUGUGUUAAGCAUGCUCUUCCAUAUCAACCAAGCUAUUCUAUUCAAAGAGUAUUGGCAAAGUUUAAUCAUAUAAUGAAAACUUCACGAAGAAAGUUAAAAAUAUUAAUUGUCAAAAAUGCUUCGCACGACCACCUGAGAGGAGAGUGAAGUCUGUUCUGUUCUGGAAUAGAAUGCGAUACCUUUUUUAUUUGCUUUUGAGAAGAGAGAAAAUGAGACUAAUCAAUACUUUGUCAUUUGAUUUUUUUUUCAACUGGGCAAAAUAGUUAAAAUGAGAUAACACUUUACUUCCACUACUUUCAGCAAGUGUUUUUUACUUUGUGAAAAACUGCCGAUGUCAGUGUUCCGAUGUUUUACAAUUCAGAGGCUCUUGUUUUAUUUAUUCAUUGUGUGAGAAUUGAGUGCCUAUUUUUGCUAACUGAAAAAAUUAUUCGGCUUGUGUCACUUAAAAGCUCCUAAACAAUUUUUUUCCUUUGUUUUCAAUGAAAUCAGAAUUGUUUUUGUGUAUAGCGGACAACAAUUUUUACACAUUAUAACAAAACAUAAUGCAUGACAGUCACACUCAUCUGCCUGUAGAGGUUUACAGGUUACACAAAUAGUUAAUGGUGGCCACUUUGUUGAAAAAUAGAAAGUGCUCACAAUAUUUUGACAUACUGGUAAUAGGAAAUUCUGAGUCAUUAAGUGAUUAACCCUGUCCGUACGUCGUGUUUUAUUUACUAUUGUCGUAUCCAUACGACGUGAGGAACUGUGUGCCACCACUUUCCAAAGAGGAAAUUUACUCGUUAAUUCAAUCCAUAUGCUUUGCAUAGCAGUCUGUCAAAAUGUUUUUUUGAGAAAUACUGAACGUUUCAAAGGGAUCUUCGCACUAGAAAUAUUCUAAAUGUGAAGAAUACACACGAAAUGACCCCAGGGCGUACGGAUAGGGUUCUCAUAGAAAUGCCUUUUAUUUUUAAGCAAAUAAAAUAGUGUGAUCAUUC
rnacentral:lncRNA from 1 species